rnacentral:rRNA from 1 species
UACGAAGGGGGCUAGCGUUGUUCGGAAUUACUGGGCGUAAAGGGCGCGUAGGCGGCGUGUCAAGUCAGGCGUGAAAGCCCCGGGCUCAACCUGGGAACCGCGCUUGAGACUGGCAUGCUCGAGUUCGGGAGAGGAUGGUGGAAUUCCCAGUGUAGAGGUGAAAUUCGUAGAUAUUGGGAAGAACACCGAUGGCGAAGGCAGCCAUCUGGACCGACACUGACGCUGAGGCGCGAAAGCGUGGGGAGGCAAACAGG